rnacentral:lncRNA from 1 species
AUCUCCACACCAGAGCCACGAGUUCCAGGUAGCUCUACAUUUGACACAAUUUCUCACCAUGCCAAAGAAAUCUCUUCUCCCAGGCCACAGCCAAAUGGAACCAUCUGCACCAUGAAGCUGAAGAUAAAGCCGCAGAAAGAUUGCUGUAUUGUGAGUGGAGAAGAGCCCUGCUUCUCUUCACUGGCUGAUGUGCAGACAUUUAUUAGUAAAUCUUCACGGCGGUCUAGGGAGUGACAGCAUCCUCUGGAAUAUUUCAACUACAAAAGGCCUUUGACUGAGCGCUGUUCAUCGAGUCCAGCCCCGGCUUUGCAAAUAAACAGCUGACACCAAGAGAGGAGAAGCAACACGGCUGAGGCCACAGGGUGACAAAGCCUUAACAGGGGUGGUCUUUGGCCGGAGGAAGAAAUGGCUUUGUUGCUCAGGAGAGCUUUGGGAAUGGAACUCAGGGGCUUCCAAAGAGCAGCAAUCAGGAAAACAAGCAGGGAGGAUCCAGGUUUUGCAAGGCCUGAAGCCUGCACACUAGGGAGCCCCAUGCUCUGUGAAGGAGAGAACAGUGAUAAGAAGAAGAUAAUGAUUCAGCAGCUUUGCAAACAUUGUUUGGUGAAUAAACAGCCCCGUUCAGUGCACCGGUUUCUUCCUCCCAUCAUGGGACAGGUGGAAUGUGAUCUGAGAUGCCAGCCUUGGUCAGCUGGAGGGUUGUUCAGCUGCCUCGUGACUCCUCCUCGGUAUUUCUGGCCCAAGAAGUUGGGCCUGGGAGGACAGACCCAGCCCAACCAUCCUCCUGUGAAGGACCCUUCGUGACGGGGUGGAGGCCACACUCUCUGGCUCCUGCUCCUGAUCACUUUCCUUCCCGUUCCUCAUGAACAUGUCCAGGCAUCAGCCCAGGGGCAGAUCUAGGAAAGCCUGGAGCCACCGGGCCCCUUGGAGCUUCCUCAGGGGCCACCAGAGGGUGGGGGCCCGGUAAGCAGCUCCCUUGCACCUGGCUUAGUCUGUAAUCUAGUGCAAUCCCUUCACCGUGAGGAUAAUUGGGCCCAGAGGGCUCAUGGUGAGUCAGACAGCCUGGGGUCCAGUCCCCAGCUGGGGGCUUUGCCCACAGCACCUUGUGCCCUCUCUCCUUUGUGGGUCUAUCCUCGUCCUCACACACGUUGUCUCUCUGUUCCAGGGAAGGAGUAUUCCAUGGCCCAUAAUCCGUGUGAACAGAUAGACAACGGGAAGCAUCUUUGUUAUUCCAACACUGGGGCAAUUUCUUUCACCAACCCGUAGCAGAGGCCUUAAUGAGGCUUCAGUCUAGCUGAAAAGGUUGUCCAAACCCCACACGUAGCACCAGGUGAGCCAUAACUAAGACUGGACUAUAUGUGGGCUCUCACUUUGGACCCUAUCCAGACCUUCCCACUCACUCCCUGUGGGAUCUACAGAAGUCUUUCCCUUCUCUGGACCUUAGUCUCCUCAUCUAUACAAUGGUGAUGUUGGACCAGAAAUUCUAAGGACCCCCUUUCUCCUGAUCUGUUCCUGAUUCUAUAAGGCCAGGGGUGGGAACAACCAUCCUGGAAUCCUCUCAGGAAAAAGCUGCUCAGGCAGGGUGCAGUGGCUCACGCACUUUGGGAGGCUGAGGCGGGCAGAUCAUUUGAGGUCAGGAGUUU